AGGAUUUUAAGUUAAAUUAAACUAGUAGCCUUCAAAGUUAAAAAUAAAGAAAUUAAAUCUUA
rnacentral:tRNA from 1 species